AGAAAUCAUCGGUGUUGCCCAAGUCCAUGCAUCAUUUCUGCCAGGAUGAGAAUUUAGUCUCCCGAGUGCACCAGGCCACGAGUACAAAGAUGAGGUGCUUCAGGAGCGGUCUCCCAGAAGACCUGGAGUGGUGACAUCUGGAUGCAGAGGAGAUCACACUGCUUAUAAAUCUGCACCAUGAGGAGGCCAAAAGUUUCUUCAGCAGCAGGAGGUAAGCCAGGACUGCUGGUGGGUGUAAGGAAUGGAGAGCAAUGCCACAUGAAUUUGAGAAGAUGGAAGCGGCAUUCUUGAGGAUGGAGACUUUGGGGCAGUAUCGUGGUCCUGUACAGAAAGCUUGAAGAGAUCUUCAGGUGGGAACACACCAGUCAGCCAGCUGCUUAUUUGGUUUAGUCCAUGGACCUCUGAGGUUUGCACACCAGAGACUGAAAACUCUUGACUUAACCUAAAUUUCCUCUUUAUGGACUUCUGAUGUGAUAGGAAUGGCACAAAAAAAAAAAAAAAAAAAAAAAAAAAAAAAAUCAAUAUAUCUGCUUUGCCAUAACUUUUUCAACCUGCUAACUUUCCCAGGACUACUUUCUGCUCAAAUUACUGGAACUUAAUUACAUGAGUCUUAAUUUCAGUUGCUUGGCCAGCUUUAAAAACAUAUAUUCAAAUUUGAACCACAAGGGCAGAAUUUUGGGAGCCUCUUUGUCUUCUCACUUUGUAUUAGUUUAAAUGAAGAAACUGUGCCUGUGAAUCUCUGCUUUAUUACACCUAUUCCAAGCCAGUCUCACUUCUGGAGAGACUUCCCAGACACUCAGUAGUUUAAGGGGGAGCACAAACUACCCCUUAUGAUAUAGAUUAUGUUUCUGAAACUGUGCAAACAAUAGAUAUUUGUCUCCUGCUUAUUAAUUUUCUUGUAAAUAAAAUGUAUUGAAACCAGAAAUGGAGUAACCCUGACUUUACACCAGAUAAGAAUUUGUAUUGACAUUUGACAUAGAAAUGUUGUAUUAUCUGUACAUUUCUCGAGUAGAUCUUGCAAUGUUUAAUUGCAACAAAAAAAAAAAAAAGGGGGGAGGGAAAAGUAAAGGAGGGGUGUGGAGGAGAGAGAA